GCUAGGUUUGGUGGCACACACCUACAGCCCCAGCUACUUGGGAGGCUGAAGCAGGAGGAUCCCUAGAGCCCAGGAAUUCUGGGCUGUGGUGCACUAUGCCGGUUGGGUGUAAGUUUGGCAUCAAUAUGGUGAUCUCCCUGAAGCAGGAAACCACAAACUUGCCUAAGGAGGGGUGAACCCAGCCCAGAUUGGAAAUGGAGCAGGCCAAAACUCCCAGGCUGAUCAAUAAUGAGAUCUUGCCUAUGAAUAGCCAGUGCACUGCAGCCUGGGCAACAGAGUGAGAACCUGUCUUA
rnacentral:SRP_RNA from 1 species